ACUUGCUAAUGGCUUUAAAGGAGAGGAAGAUUUGUUUUUUUCUGCUUUAUGUCUUCAGGUAGAUUAGGUUUCAGAGUAUUUUCCCAAUUAUAGGAGAACCAGACUGGAGCGCUCUCUGGGUUCACAAUUUCUUUCCAUGGCUGUGUAUACGCUUCAUGCAUCCCUUCUCCUGACUCCCAACUUUGGGGACUCUGUGUCUCCUUCACCCUAACCCUGUAACCCUGUAAGCCUAGUGGGGCUGCCCAUGUUGUCACUCCACCACUCCUGCCAGGCUUUUCAUGGUCCUUUACUAGAUUAGGUAUGCAACUUUGGUUAUGGAUCACUUGAUAAACAUGGUAAGAUGCAGAUUCCCAGGCCAAACCACUAAAAAUUCUGAAUCAGUAUGGUAAACUUGGAGAGGAGCUGGAAUAUAUGCACAUGUAAUUCACAUCCAAGAUGGUCUUUGAGAAACACUUUGGGAAACAUGGUCCUAGGAUCUUGAAGCUAAUGGUGCAUGAGCCUAGAGCACCUAUGGCCACUAGGCCACUUUCUCAUUGCCUGGAGAAAGUCAGAGUUCAGGAAGACACAAGAAGGCAGCAUGCAGAGAGAAGCAGAGUGAAGAAGUAAAGGAAAAAAGAGAAUAGAAUUUGAGUUCCUAGACACAGUGGUCUGUGAGGACAGCUCCACCCCUUUUCUUCCUGAGGCUUUAGUUGUAUAAAUCAGAGUGUUCUUUAUUUCUUUCUAAAUCUUGAACUUCUGUGACUUAAGAGGGCUACUCCGUAGAUAUGGGGAAGUACUGGUAUACCGGCAGGUAUAACUGGUUUAUUUGCAACAUAAAUCUUUCCGAAAAUAUAAUCCAUAAUAUUCUGUAAGUAGACCAAGUAUACUUAAUAAUACCAAGUAUAUCAUCAAGUAUAUAUUAAGUAUAUAACUUAGUAAUACCAAGUAUAUCAAGCACAGUGGCUGGGUUAUGCUGCAGUAAGAACCACCCUCCAAAUCUCAGUGGCUUAACAUGAGUUUCUUUCUUUCUCCUUUCUCAUACUACAUACACUACGCAUAUAGGCCGGAGGAUUUCUGCUCCAUGAAGUCUCUCAGAGAUCCAGGCUGAUACAGAGUUCAUCUUAACAAGUGCUUUCGUAGUCACCACAGCAGUGGGAAAUGAACAUGGAAAUCAUUGAUCAUGGCUCUUAAAGUUUCUGUUCCAAAGUGACACAGCUUGUUCCAUGUGAAGCAACCUUUCUGCUCAGAUAUUCCCUGGCCUGCAAUAGAAGCUCCAGUUUGGGCUUUGGAAACUCAAGUCUCAGGUAUGAAUUCGAAAAUCUCUUUUGACAGAGUUCUUCAGGGAGGCUCUUACAAUUGUGUAGCAUUGGCAGCACACACAAGAAAAUGGACCAAUCUACCAACCACAGACCAGGUGCAACCAUGGAUACCAGGACCAUAAAGUGCCUUUGUCUUGGGGUCACUUCGAGAAAACAUUGUAGAUCCAGGGGCUCUGAGCUGAAGAGGAAAAACCAUCAUAGUGUUCUGUUCACGAGUGCCCUGAAUUCCAUCCACAGAGCUAUUGGAUGUUUGGAGCCCAGGUGAAGAUCCCAGAGCUGGGGAACGAAAGGUUGGAAAAGCCCAGCCAGCUGUGCAAGCCUCCAGAGACACUCUCUUGACUGCGAGGAAAGUGAUAGCCUGCUGGGCUGGACCUGGACUUUGAGACAGAACUUUCGAAUCCGAAGAAGAGAUGAUUUUCAGAUAGUCCUCCUUCCAGGUUCCGGGAAAGGCCAGGCGGGUGUCAGAGGUCUUUGUCAACCCGCUGAGUCAGCAGAGGCAGAAGGCAUUCUUCUUAAGUUCCCAGGGAGAGACUGGAGCUAAAGAUCCUGGGUGACGCCACGUUGCAGUGCCUGCCCCAGAGAGAACUGCAUGGACCAGGUUUUUAUUAUGUCGAUCAUGCUUCAAUAAGGUGGUUUUUUAAAAAAGUCUGCUGAAAGCUGGAAGCGGCCACUUCAACAUCACCCUCAGAAUGGAGCAUACUCAAGGGGAAGCCAAGCUGGAGUACAGAACAAGGAAAAGACUUGGUCUCAUCUGAAUCCAUGAACGCAGCUCUGUCUGAAAGUGAUUCUUCUGGAAUUUUCAAUGACUGGAGUCCGUAAAGUCCCUUCGUCUUAGUUUUUUGAUCAUUCAUAAUCACACACAAACACACACACACCCCACCCACACUCAUACAAACAUACACAAUGAGGUGUGGAUAAAAUGAAUAAUCUAUACUUGUACUGAAAAUAUAUUAGUACAUGCCUGGCAC